UACAGAGGGUGCUAGCGUUGUUCGGAAUCAUUGGGCGUAAAGGGCGUGUAGGCGGUUUGUUAAGUCAUGUGUGAAAUCCCUCGGCUCAACCGGGGAACGACGCAUGAAACUGGCAGCUAGAGUACCAAAGAGGGGGGUGGAAUUCCCGGUGUAGCGGUGAAAUGCGCAGAUAUCGGGAAGAACACCCGUGGCGAAGGCGGUUCUCUGGGACGGUACUGACGCUGAGACGCGAAAGCGUGGGGAGCGAACAGG
rnacentral:rRNA from 1 species